CGGAGUGUGAAUGAUCGUAAAGAAGACGAAAUAUUGGUCAGCAGCCAGCGCUCUCGGCUCUCUCGGGACAAAAGUGUUAGACUUUUUUCCUCAAAACUCGUGCGUGUUUUUUCGUGUGCGUCAGCUGACGUAUAGAUUCGCGAGUGAAACUUCUCAACAAUUUUGAGACAAUGUCUUUCCUCGGAGGGAAAAUUGCCUCGAUCAUGGAAAGGCCCGGAGAAGAUCCUGCCUCUAAAGACGAUGUGCCCUGGUGGAUGAAAUACGCUGGAAGAGGCCUUGGCACCGUUGGGAGUUUCAUUGCCAUAUUCCUGGGAGCCUGGAACUGUAUUGGUGUUCUUGUCGGUUCGAUUGACUGUUUUCUGAGUGGAAUGUGGCAAAUGGUCAGUGCUUUUUUGGUCGUCAUUAUCGAAGCUCCUUGCUGCUGCAUGUUCCUUGACUUUGUACAAAGUCUGAGCGAUUGGGCUGAGCACAGGCCCUACUGGAACAGAGCUGCCGCUUACUGCGGACUCGCUCUGCCUGCGAUUAUCCUCUGCCCAGGAUUGAGCAGUAUUUUUGGUAGUGGAAUGAUUUUUGGAACCGGUGUUAUCUACGGUAUGAUGUCCUUGGGCAAAAAAGGAGCAAAGCCCGAGCCAACUGGAUUGGCAUCUCCAUCGGGACUCGCUUCACCCACUCAACCGCAGCAAGGUGCUCCUAGCACUGACCACCAUACGACCUUGAUGGAGGAUCCGGACGUCUGGCGACCGACAUAAAUUCAGGAAUAACCGAUCAAAACAAAAUUAUAAAAUUUAAUCACUACGCGUCACACUAACCAGGGCCCCGUUGGAUGCAAUGAGAUCCGCAGCAGCGAUGGAAGCAUCGUCGGUCGAUGGUAAAUCGGGAAUGCAUUCGAACCUCGUGGACGGCGCUCAGCCAAUAGGACUCACCGAUAAACCUGAUAGCAAC
rnacentral:misc_RNA from 1 species